GAUGGACUUCAACAACACAUUCUGAAAUUGGAAUGAUACAGAGAAGAUUAGUAUGGCCCCCGCACAAGGAUGAUGUGAAUUCGUGAGGAGCUGCCUUGUGGU